AGGAUGAACGCUGGCGGCGUGCUUAACACAUGCAAGUCGAACGGGAUCCCAGGAGCUUGCUCCUGGGUGAGGUGGCGAACGGGUGAGUAAUGCGUGACCGACCUGCCCCAUACACCGGAAUAGCUCCUGGAAACGGGUGGUAAUGCCGGAUGCUCCAGUUGGAUGCAUGUCCUUCUGGGAAAGAUUCAUCGGUAUGGGAUGGGGUCGCGUCCUAUCAGCUUGAUGGCGGGGUAACGGCCCACCAUGGCUUCGACGGGUAGCCGGCCUGAGAGGGCGACCGGCCACAUUGGGACUGAGAUACGGCCCAGACUCCUACGGGAGGCAGCAGUGGGGAAUAUUGCACAAUGGGCGCAAGCCUGAUGCAGCGACGCCGCGUGCGGGAUGACGGCCUUCGGGUUGUAAACCGCUUUUGACUGGGAGCAAGCCCUUCGGGGUGAGUGUACCUUUCGAAUAAGCACCGGCUAACUACGUGCCAGCAGCCGCGGUAAUACGUAGGGUGCAAGCGUUAUCCG
rnacentral:rRNA from 1 species